rnacentral:rRNA from 1 species
UACGGGGGGGGCAAGCGUUGUUCGGAAUUACUGGGCGUAAAGGGCUCGUAGGCGGCCAACUAAGUCGGAUGUGAAAUCCCCAGGCUUAACCUGGGAACUGCAUCCGAUACUGGAUGGCUUGAAUCCGGGAGAGGGAUGCAGAAUUCCAGGUGUAGCGGUGAAAUGCGUAGAUAUCUGGAGGAAUACCGGUGGCGAAGGCGGCAUCCUGGACCGGCAUUGACGCUGAUGAGCGAAAGCGUGGGGAGCAAACGGG